CCUUCUCUCCCUCAUUGCUGGACAUCUCCUCACAACCCACCAGUUUGCUACAGUCACGACAGACGCAUCAUCUGGUAAUUUACCCAACUAUCAAGGGCUAGGUGAUAUAUCAGAAACCCAACAGAUUGCUACUGAGACGUGACAGACACAUCAUCAGUUUUUCCAGAGGACUCAGAUACAACUGCUAGGCCCACCAUCCCGACAAACACGUCUUCCAAACAGCCUGUCUCACAGACUCCUCUAGCCGUAUACCGCACUAAUCAGCCAAUCAUGAAGCCCAUGGCACCCAUGCCUUUCCCUUACCUGCGGGCU